rnacentral:lncRNA from 12 species
AUGCCAGUUCCGAACUGCAUUUCCGGGUGGUGCUUGGUCACACGGAACAGGAAAAUUCAGUUGAUGGUCCCUCAGAGUCCCAAGAAUCAACCCCGUCACCCUCCCACCCCCACCAAAGACACCAUGCAUGUCAUUGUACUUUGCAAAAUGAACAGGAGGACAGAGAGGAGGGAAUCCCAGAGAUCCCGGGACUGCAUGUUGCGCCUUGGCACAGACGGCUGGGCUGCGGGUGAGUGGACAGCACAGCCUUGGGGGAGCCUGGGCAGAGGCUGCUGUCAUGUCCUGGGCGUUUCCAGGGUAAAGUGGGUGGACAGUGCACUGGAGAAACAGGAUUGGGUAAACAUACGACUUCCUCUUCUUCUGGGAGAUCUCCCGGGUGGCCUGAGGCUGGGCCCUUGGUGCUCUUCCCACUUUCUUGAGGCCCCGUGCCAGGCUUUGGCUCACCUGGGUCCAUCCCUGACCCCCAGCAGCUCCAGCAGCCCCGAGGUAUUUAGAAGUAAGCGUUCUUUCCAGGAAGGGCUACAUUCGACAUGCACGAACAUUGUAAACACGGUCUGGAGAGGCCAGGGCAGCUCUGGGCUUGCCCCCCGAGUACUACAAUUUUCCUUUCCCUUUUCUGGCGACACUUCCAUACUUUACUCAUUCACAUACACUUGGCCAGUCUGCCAGCUGCAGGCUCGGCUUUGUGGGGGUCGACAUGCCGGCUCUACCAAAACCUGGAAUCGGGAUGUGCUUCCAAAUCAUCCAGGCAAAAAUCUUUUUGCUUCCUCUGUGGCACGAGGAUGUCAGAGGCUUCGAGAAGAAAGCUUCCUAGGAGAAUUCUGGUGGGCCAGGGAUUCUUUUACCUUGGAAGUAUGGGAAGGAGAAGCUUAUCCUCCUGGAUUAGAAUAUCCAGUAUGGCUUUCAGAUUCGAACCCAAAUGUGGGGUUCCCUCUACCCUCUUUCCUUGUGUACUUGGAAAGCCUUUGGCCAGUGGAAUCCCUCAUUAGCCAAAUGACAGAGGUGAAGAAGCCAGAACAAUUUGGUCCUAGAAACACCAAAAACUGGGAAGCACUGUGCAAAAGAGUCUUUCGUUCCUACCUUGCCUUUCCCAGCGUUCCAAAAAAUAACUCAAAAGAAGACCAGACAGGAUGCACACAAACCUGCCCUUAA